rnacentral:rRNA from 1 species
GAUACUGUCGGUGAUAAACCGGAGGAAGGUGGGGAUGACGUCAAAUCAUCAUGCCCCUUACGUCCUGGGCUACAGGCGUGCUACAAUGGCCGGUAUAGCAAGUUGCCACAUCGUAAGAUGGAGCUAAUCUAUAAAGCCGGUCCCAGUUCGGAUUGAGGUCUGCAACUCGACCUCAUGAAGUUGGAAUCGCUAGUAAUCCCAGAUCAGAAUGCUGGGGUGAAUACGUUCCCGGGUGUUGUACACACCGCCCGUCACGCUACGAGAGUUUGUAAUACCUGAAGCUGGUAGCCUAACCCGAAAGGGAGGGGGCCAUCGAGGGUAGGACGGAUGAUUAAAGUGAAGUCGUAACAAGGUAUCACUACCGGAAGGUGGGGAUGGAUCACCUCCUUUCUAAGGAGA